rnacentral:lncRNA from 1 species
GAACGCGUCUAAUAACAGUAUGUCAUGAAUAUUUUCUAUGGUAUUGUCUAUUUGUUGUGCUGUGAGGUUAUUGUAUCUGUAUGAGCCUUUCUUUCCUGAGUUUGAGGAAGUUUUCUUCUAUAAUCUUAUUGAAGAUCUGUUCUAUGUCAGGAUUGUUCUCCACACUAUUCCUAUAAGUCUAAGAUUUGGUCUUCUUAUGAUAUACCACAAUUCUUGUUCAUUCCUUUCCUUUGGUUUUUCCCCAUUUUCUUUGUUUAUUUCAUCUAGAUUCCCUUAUUGUGUCUUCCAGACCUGAUAUUCUAUCAUCUGCUGGAUUAUUUUUCUACUUAUAAGGCAUUACUUUCAGUUUUAUAGUUGGGUUAGAUUUUUCAGUUCGAUCUUAUCAGCUUAAGUACUCUUUAUUGAAUUACUUUUUAAAAAUUCUGGAUUGUUUUAAUCAUUUGAUCACCUCUGUUUUUCUAUUUUCUUGGGUAUUACACCUUUUCUCUUUAACUAAUCACCUUUAAGUUGACUGAGCUGAUUUUAUAUGUCUUCUUUAAACUCCUAAAUUCUUUUAUAAAGUUUAUAAUUUUUUAUUUAAAUUCUGUUUCCUAAGGUCCAUCUAGAUGAUUCUCAUUGCCGAAUUCUUUUAUAAAGUUUAUAAUUUUUUUUUUAUUUAAAUUCUGUUUCCUAAGGUCCAUCUAGAUGAUUCUCAUUGGCAAACACUUCUAGCUGACUGGAGGAGUUUGUUUGUUUGUUUGUUUCAGAGGUGCAGAUACAAUCCAGGCUUUUGUACAUACAUGAAUUGAUGACAAUUCGUUAGAACUUUUGACAAUAGACAUAGGAUAUAAAAUAAACCAGAGUCUGUCAGGGAUGGAGAUCAUGAGAGAGCUCCAUGUUGUGAGAUGAGACCCUAAGGAGUUAAUCCUUACAAAUAAGGAAAAUUUAAGGAAAUCAAAGUGUUCUACAAAAUUACAAAAAUGAAAAUUAAAUAACAGAUUGUUCAAAGCCACACCAGAAAGUCAAAUACAAACAAAUAUAACCUAAAAAUAAAUUACGAACAAGUUAAGCAGCUCUAUUCUUGUACAGUUUUCAGAAUAUGUAUGGAAUUAAAAUACAUGCUAAUAGUGACUUUGGAGGGGGAUAACAUAAUUAAAAUUUUCCAUAAUGUGUAUAUCAUCCAAGAGAAUUAACAAAAAUUCUCAAAGUUAGAGGACACAUUGUCAAAGUAAUUUUUACUAAAUCUGUAGAAUAAUUUUUAAAAUUCUUUCAAAUUUGUAGAAUGAAAACUGCAAUCAUCAAAUUAAUAAAUUUACAAAAGUACAGGAAAACACAAGAUAGAAGCAGAAAAAUAUGGCAAAACACAUGAACAUAACAAGAACAAAAUUAAUUUCAUUAGUAGAAACAGUAAACAAAAAUAAAUCAAAUGCUAC